GACGAACCGUCCAAACGUUAUUCGGAAUCACUGGGCUUACAGAGUUCGUAGGCGGUCUGGAAAGUUGGGUGUGAAAUCCCUCGGCUCAACCGAGGAACUGCGCUUGAAACUACCAGACUCGAGGGAGAUAGAGGAAAGCGGAACUGAUGGUGGAGCGGUGAAAUGCGUUGAUAUCAUCAGGAACACCGGUGGCGAAGGCGGCUUUCUGGGUCUUACCUGACGCUGAGGAGCGAAAGCGUGGGGAGCGAACAGG
rnacentral:rRNA from 1 species